AUUCUACCCCUGUCGUUGUCCAGCGUGACAGUCUGACCGUCAACGCAUGCAUUUCCUGAAAAUGACUGCUGAGGAGCAGCAUGAGUCUCCAGAUGAGGAGGAGAUCAAUUAUUUGAGAAAAACAAUAGGUUCAGGAAAAGGAGACGGCUCUGAUGAGGAAUAUAUUCCUCACCUUUGUUUAUGGACAACUUCAGACUUCGAGAACUUCCAAAAUCACAUCCUGAUGUUUGCAGGAAAGCAUUUUGGCUUUAGCCCACCUGUAUACACAGCUCAGACAUUGCUUGUAACACU